UACGAAGGGGGCUAGCGUUGUUCGGAAUUACUGGGCGUAAAGGGCGCGUAGGCGGCGUGUCAAGUCAGGCGUGAAAUCCCCGGGCUCAACCUGGGAACUGCCUUUGUGACUGCAUAGCUAGAGUACGGUAGAGGGGGAUGGAAUUCCGCGUGUAGCAGUGAAAUGCGUAGAUAUGCGGAGGAACACCGAUGGCGAAGGCAAUCCCCUGGACCUGUACUGACGCUCAUGCACGAAAGCGUGGGGAGCAAACAGG
rnacentral:rRNA from 1 species